UUAUUUUUUCUAUCUACGUGACUUUACCGAAAGAACCAUAUAAUAUGAAUUCCUGCAGUCACGAAAGUUUUCAGUAAAAAAACUAAUAAACUCAGUUUUAUAAAGCGCCUUUAAAAUCGAUAAUCUCAAAGCGCUUUUAUUCUGUCCUCAACCAAUAUAUAUUUAAACUAUUUGAGCCCAGCAUCCUGAGUAAAUGUAUUCAAAACAUUUCCAGAAACGUUUUCAAGCAGCAUGUGCGUGAUCACAUGAUUGAUGCCUUGGGCUCGUGGGAGUCUCUCGAUCCUGAUUGGCCGAAAACCAAAUGUUUCUCGAUGGAGAAAUGUAAUUUAACAUGAAAACGGAUUUCCCCAUGUAUGCUAGGCAUUAUAAUACACUGUUCGAGUGGCAAGAUGAUGUUUAAAAGCUAUGCAACUUCAUAUCAUGGGCCCAAACUCAAUGCGUCUCGAUUAGGUAUGACAUGAUAUGGCCCACCUUGCUGUUUGAUGAAUUUUUAUAAUUCGGGGUCACGAUUCAAUUAUGUAUUUUUUUCAAUUGUGAAAGUAGAUAUGUUAGUGGCUCCAUGGUUUACAUGAACGCAUUGCAUAAAACAUGCACGUGUCAAAAAUGUAUUCCCAUAUAUUUCAAUGCAUGUUUUCUGAGUAUUGUACAAUAAUUGGUUCAUCAUUCCAUGCCCAGUCUCCACACGUUCCCCACACCGGAUGAUUUCACAAACACAGUGGCCAGACCACCCAGACUUCCCACAUGCAGGACCAUACGGGUCUCCACCACACCACAUAGUGUAUCUACACUGGGGUGCCACCGUAGCAAGAUGUUAACUACCUCACCUGGUAUACAGGAGGUUGUGAGUUUGAUCCCGACCCUGACGCCUGCUGUAUAUUUGGAUUUUGCAUAUUCUCCCCGUGUUCGCGUGGAUUUUUCUCCGGGUCCUCUGGUUUUUCCCUCCACAUUUAGAAUCAUGCGUUUAUAGAGUAUUCGAUUGCUAUAAACUCCCACUUGAUAAGCCACAUCGUUGAGCUAUAAUGUGUGACCAAGUCGCUCCUAAAAAAGAGCUAUAUAGCUCAGUGGGCCUAAGCUAAAAAAAUAAAAGUUUCCUACACUGCGUAGUGGUUCCAACCAGGGGAAGUGUGGUUGGCAUGCGCCCUGGUGUAAGAAAUAUAAUUUGCUGCCUCUAUAGCCUGGGCCCCCUAUGGUCUGUGGUAACUUGUGCAAGUCGCACCGUCUGCACAUUGAGUCACGCCACCGUCUCCCACAACCCAAGGCUUCUUGGUUUCCAACAAUCAAAACAAGCGUGAGAACGAUUGUGAAGUUGAGGGAAUAGUAGCAGCUUUGGGAACCUGUGAGUAGCCGAGGAGACCCAUGACAUGAAUUGAGGCACAUCGGCAGCUUUUUUAAAGUUGUGGGUAUGAGAACAGAUACUAAUUUAGUCCCUAACUCCAACGAACACUUUACCCAUUUGUCUCCCAAAGUUAACCUCGUGGAUUCUCCCUCGCAAGCUGUGAUAAAUUGUCGCUAUUCGGGGUCACAAUAAAAUUUGCUUGUCAUGUAUUACUUUAGCAGACGUGGUGUGUGUAGAAUCCAUCGUGGUGUGAAAGGUCCAGUUCGUUAGAUCGGCGUGGCCAAUGCCUGUUGAUACCACCCACACCUCAACAUCAAUUCCUGCUGCUCGGUGAUUGUAGAUUUAAAGUCGACGACAUUAGACCUUCGAGGUAAUCUCUUGCAGAAUCCUACUGCCUUGUAGGUACACGUGCAACCCUCUUGUCGGGCCACUACUCGAUGAGGGCCUCUACGCCAUUGCAGGUCGUGAGGGUUAUUUGACCUUACCGCACCACGCUGAUCUGUGUAGGUCGUGAGGGUUAUUUGACCUCAGAGCACCACGCUGAUCUGUGCAGGUCGUGAGGGUUAUUUGACCUUACCGCACCACGCUGAUCUGUGUAGGUCGUGAGGGUUAUUUGACCUCAGCACCACGCUGAUCUGUGUAGGUCGUGAGGGUUACUUGACCUUACCGCACCACGCUGAUCUGUGCAGGUCGUGAGGGUUAUUUGACCUUACCGCACCACGCUGAUCUGUGUAGGUCGUGAGGGUUACUUGACCUUACCACACCACGCUGAUCUGUGCAGGUCGUGAGGGUUAUUUGACCUCAGAGCACCACGCUGAUCUGUGUAGGUCGUGAGGGUUAUUUGACCUUACCGCACCACGCUGAUCUGUGUAGGUCGUGAGGGUUAUUUGACCUCAGAGCACCACGCUGAUCUGUGCAGGUCGUGAGGGUUAUUUGACCUUACCGCACCACGCUGAUCUGUGUAGGUCGUGAGGGUUAUUUGACCUCAGCACCACGCUGAUCUGUGUAGGUCGUGAGGGUUACUUGACCUUACCGCACCACGCUGAUCUGUGCAGGUCGUGAGGGUUAUUUGACCUUACCGCACCACGCUGAUCUGUGUAGGUCGUGAGGGUUACUUGACCUUACCACACCACGCUGAUCUGUGCAGGUCGUGAGGGUUAUUUGACCUCAGAGCACCACGCUGAUCUGUGUAGGUCGUGAGGGUUAUUUGACCUUACCGCACCACGCUGAUCUGUGUAGGUCGUGAGGGUUAUUUGACCUCAGAGCACCACGCUGAUCUGUGUAGGUCGUGAGGGUUACUUGACCUUACCGCACCACGCUGAUCUGUGCAGGUCGUGAGGGUUACUUGACCUUACCACACCACGCUGAUCUGUGUAGGUCGUGAGGGUUAUUUGACCUUACCGCACCACGCUGAUCUGUGUAGGUCGUGAGGGUUAUUUGACCUCAGAGCACCACGCUGAUCUGUGCAGGUCGUGAGGGUUAUUUGACCUUACCGCACCACGCUGAUCUGUGCAGGUCGUGAGGGUAUGAUCGUAAAAGAGCAAUGGAUAUUGUUUGACGUCUCUCUGCUGCCUGUACCUACCUGUUGUGCAUGGUUGUCACCCAUCCAAACUCUAUCCAGGCCCAGAACUGUUUAGCUCCCAUCAGCUGAUGAGAUCAGGCGCAUUCCGGCUUAUUUAUCCAUGUAACUCUCGUGGUUUAAAAGGUAUAAACAGGUUAAUAAGUACGGUAAUGCAUUUGUACGUGUAUUGUUUGAGGCGUGUAUCGUGAAACAAUCUGAAAUUAAAGGGUCUGACUUUCCUCCACACACAA